CUUUUUGUAACCCUCUUUUUGUUUCUCCGGCCCUUUCUCUCCACUCCUUUUGAAAAUUGUUUAAAUUGCUAAUCAUAGCCUUCAUAGAAACAGAACCUUUAAGCUGGGGGUUGACAGUGUUCUAAAUAUAUUACCACCUCGUUAAAUCCAUAAUAAGCCGAGAAUAUUCUAAGAAGGAGUGAGAGAGAGGUGGAAAGACAACCCCUCUUGGGGUAAUUAAAUCUAGAUAAGAUUGUGAGCCCUUUAGGGGAGAGUUCAGAUAUUUAGGCUAGUCUAUCAUUAAGACAGGGGUGAGGGAUUGGAGGUGUGGGAGAAUGAUGGGGAAAGACGGGAAAAAAGUAGCAGGAACACCAACAGAGAGGAAAAUCUCAAGACAGGAAGAAAUAAGAGAUCUGGACGCACUCUGGCUAAAAAUAAAAGAUGAAUUUAGACAGAAUGAAACCCACAUGGAAAAAAAGUUAGGAGAGAUGCAGGAAUCUUUCGACAAAAAAAUGGAAGUAAUAGUAGGGGAAAUAUCAAACAAAAUAAAAGACCUAACAACCAAAACUAAACUUCUAGAAGACUCAAAUAAAAGAAUGCAAAGAGAGAUGAAGGAUCAGAGAAAAGAGGCAGAGAAAAUCAAGGAAAAUUUUGGAGAACUGAGUAAAAGCCAGGAUCAAGUCUUAGACAAUUUAGCCAUGAUCGAAAUGAAACAAAAACAGUUAAAUCUAAAAUUUAGAGGAAUAGGGGAAGAGAGGGAAGAAGAUAUCAAAGGGAAAAUGAUUAAAGAACUGGCGGCAUGGCUAGCACUGACAGAAGAUGAGGUGGAACAAACGAUAGAAAAUGCCUUUAGAGUCAAAAUAAAAGCCAAGCAAAAUAGAUUGAAAAAAACCCCAGGAGACUGCCUGGUGAUUUUUAACUCGAUAGUGAUGAGGAACAUGAUCCUAAAGGAAAGCUAUCAAAAGAGAUUAAUAAUCGACGGAAAACCAAUCAUUAUAUUCAAAGAAAUUCCAAUCAGACUCCUCCGUAAAAGAGAGGGUUACAAACAGAUAGUAAACACUUUAAAAAGGAAUGGCAUUAAACACAGGUGGGAAUUCCCAGAAGGGAUUUCCUUCUUUUACAAGGGAAAAAGAUUUAAGAUCAUGGAAAGUCAGGAAGUCAGUAAAUUCUUACGCAGAUAUGAGAAAGAUCUCGGGGGGAUAGAGG
rnacentral:lncRNA from 1 species